GACGAACGCUGGCGGCGUGCUUAACACAUGCAAGUCGAACGGAAAGGCCCUGCUUUUGUGGGGUGCUCGAGUGGCGAACGGGUGAGUAACACGUGAGUAACCUGCCCUUGACUUUGGGAUAACUUCAGGAAACUGGGGCUAAUACCGGAUAGGAGCUCCUGCUGCAUGGUGGGGGUUGGAAAGUUUCGGCGGUUGGGGAUGGACUCGCGGCUUAUCAGCUGGUUGGUGGGGUAGUGGCGUACCAAGGCUUUGACGGGUAGCCGGCCUGGGAGGGUGACCGGGCACAUUGCUACUGCGAGACGGCGCAGACUCCUACCGUCGGCAGUGGUGGAGAGUAUUGCGCAGCGGGCGGGCGCCAGUUGUGACAGCCCCGCGUGCGUGAUGCCGUCUUUCGGGUUGUGAACCGCUUUCUCAUGUGACGUGGCGUGAGUGACGGUAAUUGGUAAGAAAGCACCGGCUAACUACGUG
rnacentral:rRNA from 1 species